rnacentral:lncRNA from 10 species
GUCACGUGGGAGGGAGGCUCGGCGCUCAGGAAGCAUGGCACUCUGGCGGGCAUACCAGCGGGCCCUGGCCGCUCACCCGUGGAAAGUACAGGUCCUGACAGCUGGGCCCUGUGGUAGGAGGCUGGUACAAGGUUUUGGAUCGGUUCAUCCCUGGCACCACCAAAGUGGAUGCACUGAAGAAGAUGUUGUUGGAUCAGGGGGGCUUUGCCCCGUGUUUUCUAGGCUGCUUUCUCCCACUGGUAGGGGCACUUAAUGGACUGUCAGCCCAGGACAACUGGGCCAAACUACAGCGGGAUUAUCCUGAUGCCCUUAUCACCAACUACUAUCUAUGGCCUGCUGUGCAGUUAGCCAACUUCUACCUGGUCCCCCUUCAUUACAGGUUGGCCGUUGUCCAAUGUGUUGCUGUUAUCUGGAACUCCUACCUGUCCUGGAAGGCACAUCGGCUCUAAGCCUGCCUCACUCCAUCGUUUCCACCUUGCAGUGAUGCAGCUUGACCCUGGAACGGUCAGACAACCUCCUCAAAGUGGGCAUACCAGUUUCCACGGGGUUGGGUUGCCGGUCAGAGCUUAAGAGGACUAGCACCCUGCAAUGCCCCUCUUCACUCUAAAAUGUACACUGACUGCUUUAGAGCCCUUGAUAAUAGUCUUAUUCCCACCACAUACUAGGCACUCCAUAAAUAUCUGUUGAACCUUCAUGACCUUAUCAACUUUACACCCAUAUCCCAGCAAAUGCCACUCAUCCCCACUCUUCAUAGACACAUUUGUUACUCUAACCCUGCCUAGGCUUCUUGUAGCUCCAGCUCUUUAGAGACUCCCGGAACCCUUUAUAUGGUGCCUCAGUAAAUAUGUUAUUAAAUAUGUAAUCC